UACGUAGGGGGCAAGCGUUGGUCCGGAUUUAUUGGGCGUAAAGAGCGUGUAGGCGGCCAGAUAGGUCCGUUGUGAAAACUGGAGGCUUAACCUCCAGCGGUCGAUGGAAACCAUUUGGCUAGAGUCCGGAAGAGGAGAGUGGAAUUCCGUGGUGUAGCGGUGAAAUGCGCAGAUAAUCAGGAAGAACACCCGUGGCGAAGGCGGCUCUCUGGGACGGUACUGACGG
rnacentral:rRNA from 1 species